AUUUGCCACUGGAGCAGCAAGCGAGAAGGCUAGAGACAGCCUAUUCUCGCUUGCUGCUCCAGUGAUAACU
rnacentral:pre_miRNA from 1 species